UACGUAGGGUGCAAGCGUUGUCCGGAAUUAUUGGGCGUAAAGGGCUCGUAGGCGGUCUGUCACGUCGGGAGUGAAAACUCAGGGCUUAACCCUGAGCCUGCUUCCGAUACGGGCAGACUAGAGGUAUGCAGGGGAGAACGGAAUUCCUGGUGUAGCGGUGGAAUGCGCAGAUAUCAGGAGGAACACCAACAGCGAAGGCAGCUCGCUGGGACGGUACUGACGCUGAGACGCGAAAGCGUGGGGAGCGAACAGG
rnacentral:rRNA from 1 species